AAUGUACUCCCUCCGUUUGGAAUUACUUGUCACAAAAAUGGAUGUAUCUACAACUAAAAUACAUCUAGAUACAUUCAUUUCUUGGACGAGUAAUUCCGAACGGAGGGAGUACCUA
rnacentral:pre_miRNA from 1 species